AGAGAUUUGCUGCUGGCGUUGGCCUAGUGUAGUAUCUGAUCUUAAAAGUUUCAUAUCUGAUAUGCCCUUGAUGAGAGGAUUUUAUAUCAAACAGACUUUGGGGCAUGGGAGUUGGACCUGGAGCUUGCUCUCUCUGCUUCAUGCAUUGCCCCAGCAUUGCAGUGACUCUGGGAACGGUGCACUGAUA
ensembl:snRNA U2 U2 spliceosomal RNA